AGGGCAGGCUGGUGGAUUCGUCUCCCCAAUGGCAGCAAGUGGGUUCCGGCCAUUUUGCACUGCUGCCCUUAUAAGCUAGGCUGGAAGACUCAGCUCUAAACCAAUACCUUUUCAAGUUUAAAAGCCCUCUGCCUGGACACAAGAGGAAAGACAAGCAAGGGGAUAAGACCAUAGAGGGACGAUUUUGAACUCUAUUCCACGUGGACCUUGAGAUGAAAGUGACAAAGCCCUGCCUGCUGGGAACCCCACCUCUUGUGGCCCCCGCAACAGGUUGAUGGAGUCAUAGUGGGGCUGGUGACACCACACUUGGUGAGGGUUCUAUGACAAAGGCUCCUCCCACCUGCCCUCUCUAAGUGGGGAAGCAGAGCUCUUCCUAAGAGGGCCCUACAUCAGGCAGACUAAUGAAUGGCCAGAAGGAGAGCAGAGCUUGGACAAAUGGAAAAUGAACCCCAACAGCUGAGACAGCCAAGGCCCAAGUGUGCAGGCUGCAGGAAGAAGUACCCCGAGAUGAGCAGCCUUAUGGGCUCACGUGUAUUCAUCCAGGACAUGUAAUUGCCAGAGAGGCUGACAAGCUGAGAGCCACCCCAGCUGUCCCAUUUACUCACCUAGUAAUUUGACGGUUCAUUAACUCAUCCAACAAAUAGCUACUUAGUGCUGACCGGUCUACUGGGGAUAAGAAGGACAAUAGAAGUUUCCAGACACUUCACAGUGGUGUGGGGCCCAGGGUGUCACCUUGGAAUCACAGAGGGUAGCUUCCCUCAGAAAAGGACUCCCAGUUUUCACAAUUCCUGCCCAAUGAAGAGGACCACAUGGCCUUAAUGAGAAUAUUUGGGCAUUCCACAACUGUGAAGUUUCCUUCCUCUCUCCACAUCAAAUCCAGCUUCUGUGACAUUGCUCCUGAGAAACAGAACGAGAGAACAGCAGAAAACACAUGGGCUGGUUAUCCAGGAAAGCUUGUGCUCUCUCCGCAGUGCCUCAUUUAUUGGAUUAUGCGUAAGACCAGGCUGAGCUAUCAGGAUAGAUUUCUCUUGGAGAUGUAGAAUGGACCCUCGUAGUGGUGAUGUUCCAAAACAUUAACUGAUUUGAUCACGUCACUCCUCAAUAAUCGUCAGUGGUCCCAAGUGACCUACUAAAUAAAGUCCAGAUUUUGUAGUUUGGAAUUCA
rnacentral:lncRNA from 1 species